rnacentral:rRNA from 1 species
CCUACGGGAGGCAGCAGUAAGGAAUAUUGGUCAAUGGACGAAAGUCUGAACCAGCCAUGCCGCGUGAAGGAUGAAGGUCCUCUGGAUUGUAAACUUCUUUUAUCUGGGACGAAAAAAGGGAAUUCUUUCUCACUUGACGGUACCAGAGGAAUAAGCACCGGCUAACUCCGUGCCAGCAGCCGCGGUAAUACGGAGGGUGCAAGCGUUAUCCGGAUUCACUGGGUUUAAAGGGAGCGUAGGUGGGCAGGUAAGUCAGUGGUGAAAUCUCCGGGCUUAACCCGGAAACUGCCAUUGAUACUAUUUGUCUUGAAUUAUCUGGAGGUAAGCGGAAUAUGUCAUGUAGCGGUGAAAUGCUUAGAUAUGACAUAGAACACCCAUUGCGAAGGCAGCUUACUACGGAUAUAUUGACACUGAGGCUCGAAAGCGUGGGGAUCAAACAGGAUUAGAUACCCUGGUAGUCCACGCCCUAAACGAUGGAUACUCGACAUCAGCGAUACACUGUUGGUGUCUGAGCGAAAGCAUUAAGUAUCCCACCUGGGAAGUACGACCGCAAGGUUGAAACUUAAAGGAAAUUGACCGGNNGAGAGAGNGAGACGACGACGAGGGAGGAGG